AGCGAACGCUGGCGGCAGGCCUAACACAUGCAAGUCGAACGAACCUUUCGGGGUUAGUGGCGGACGGGUGAGCAACACGUGGGAACGUGCCUUUAGGUUCGGAAUAACUCAGGGAAACUUGUGCUAAUACCGAAUGUGCCCUUCGGGGGAAAGAUUAAUCGCCUUUAGAGCGGCCCGCGUCUGAUUAGCUAGUUGGUUGAGGUAAUGGCUCACCAAGGCGACGAUCAGUAGCUGGUCUGAGAGGAUGAUCAGCCACAUUGGGACUGAGACACGGCCCAAACUCCUACGGGAGGCAGCAGUGGGGAAUCUUGCGCAAUGGGCGAAAGCCUGACGCAGCCAUGCCGCGUGAAUGAUGAAGGUCUUAGGAUUGUAAAAUUCUUUCACCGGGGACGAUAAUGACGGUACCCGGAGAAGAAGCCCCGGCUAACUUCGUG
rnacentral:rRNA from 1 species